GACAGAGGGUGCAAACGUUGUUCGGAAUUACUGGGCGUAAAGCGCGUGUAGGCGGCCCGGAAAGUCGGAUGUGAAAGCCCUGGGCUUAACCUAGGAAGUGCAUUCGAAACUGCUGGGCUUGAGUUCUGGAGAGGAAGGCGGAAUUCUCGGUGUAGAGGUGAAAUUCGUAGAUAUUAGGAAGAACACCAGUGGCGAAGGCGGCUCACUGGCUCGGUACUGACGCUGAGGCGCGAAAGCGUGGGGAGCAAACAGG
rnacentral:rRNA from 1 species